UAGGGAAUAUUGGUCAAUGGAGGGAACUCUGAACCAGCCAUGCCGCGUGGAGGAAGACGGCGUUCUGCGUUGUAAACUCCUUUUAUAUAGGAAGAAAAGCCAUUGCGAUGGUCUAUGACGGUACUAUAUGAAUAAGCACCGGCUAACUCCGUGCCAGCAGCCGCGGUAAUACGGAGGGUGCGAGCGUUGUCCGGAAUUAUUGGGUUUAAAGGGUGCGUAGGCGGUCUGAUCAGUCAGAGGUGAAAUCUCAAGGCUUAACCUUGAAACUGCCUUUGAUACUGUCAGACUUGAAUUCACUAGAGGUAAGCGGAAUUUAUGAUGUAGCGGUGAAAUGCAUAGAUAUCAUAAAGAACACCGAUAGCGUAGGCAGCUUACUGGAGUGUUAUUGACGCUGAGGCACGAAAGCGUGGGUAGCGAACGGG
rnacentral:rRNA from 1 species